ensembl:lncRNA
UCAUCCUCCACCCCCUGAAAUAACCAUUCCUACCUUAUGGAAGGCUUUGCAUCACAUUUUCCCCACUAGAACUUCUCUGACAUCCCAGAAGACAGGCUUCUAUUCAAACAGCAGUUUUUCUCUGUAAAACUGAAGUGGCGUUUUGGGGGCAGAGAAUCAAGUAUCAGUUCUCUUGUUGUCUUGUGCAGUUAUUUAAAUUUUUUAUCUUCUUUGCACUUUCAUGUGCUGAUUUCCUGUCUCUUGAUCUGUCUUGCAAGCUCCUGGGGGCGAAGACUGUGUCCCAGACUGCCUCCUCCUCCCUCCCCCAUACACACUCUCUCCUCCUCCUACACGGACUGUUCCAGCUCUUGGCUCAUUUCUCAUGCAAAUAUAGGAUGCCUAACAAUUGUUUUGGGGACAAGAAUAUCUGAUCCACAAAGCAGGCAUGCAGACAGCAGUAUUCUAGCGAGUGUGUUCUGUCACUCAGUCCUCGCUCCAGUGCUCUGCAAACAGUUCCUGCAGAAAUCAUGGCGAAACUGGAACCUCCCACCUGUUCUAAGUGUCUGGAGGUACAGAAGGUUAAAGAAGAAAGAAUAGAUGUGUGAGGAAAAAAUUGCACGAACAACUCUGGGACUAUAUUAGUUGAUUUUUUAAGUCAGAAACUUCUGAGAUGGUUUUCCACCUGGAAGUGGACAGAGUACUAUGCUAGAGAAUUUGCAUAGCUCAUCCUGACUGAAUUCUUACUCUGCCUGAUGUCUUCAACCACAAACUGCAUUGCAAUACAAGGCUGUCUACUGUGUGAGAAUACCUUGGAAAUCUCACUGAACAUCACAGGAGGCUGUAAGUUCUGACUAAAUUGCGAUUGUAAUCCUCCCCAGAUCUUAGAGAAACAUAUUCCAUUUUAUUUAGUAGCCCCUUAAACAUACAAGGAUGUUCAUUGGGAGGACUGAUGUUGAAGCUGAAACUCCAAUACUUUAGCCACCUGAUGUGAAGAGCUGACUCAUUUGAAAAGACCCUGAUGCUGGGAAAGAUUGAGGGCAGGAGGAAAAGGGGAUGACAGAGGAUGAGAUGGUUGGAUGGCAUCACCAACUCAAUGGACAUGGGUUUGAGUAGACUCUGGGAGUUGAUGAUGGACAGGGAGGCCUGUCAUGCUGCAGUUCAUGGGGUCACAAAGAGUCGGACACAACUGAGCGACUGAACUGAACUGAACUAGACUUAAACAUACCAGACUAAUAAUGAACUUUUAAGCUCACUAUACAUUAAAAAAUAUCAAAAAUUUAAAGUAUUUUGAAAUUAUUGAACAUGGGCUUCCCCAGUGGCUCAGAAGUAAAGAAUCUACCUGAUAAUGCAGGAUACGUGAGUUUGAUCCGUGGGUCAGGAAGAUGCCCUGGAGAAGGGAAGGGUAACCCAUUCCAGUAUUCUUGCCUGGAGAAUCCCAUGGACAGAGGAGCCUGCUGGGCCACAUACAGUCCAUGGGGUCACAAACACUCAGAUACCACUGAGCGACUAAACAACAAUUUAAUGUAAUGAUCUUUGAAGAACUGUGGUAUACAUCAAAGACAUGUAUAGAAGCUAUUUUCAAAAGCUGAUCUUACCC